rnacentral:lncRNA from 1 species
UUUUCUGACAAUGCUUUGAGCAGUUAUCAUGAAUCUUUGGUGACUGGUUUAUAUCUAUUAAGAAAACCUCCUUUUAGUUUUUUUAAUGAAUUUCUGAUAUGACAUUAAAAGGCUAUUGUACCUUUUCUUUUAAAAAGGCAUUUGGGUGUAUCAUCAUGAGCUAAAGGUGCAGCUGUUCAUCUUUUUUCUUUAAUUUUAUUACUUUGGUAUUGGGUAAUGAUGGUCUCAGGAAGAUCUGAAAGUUUUUAUUUAAUCAAUAAUCAAUUAUUUCCAUGUUUAUACUAUUUUAUUGAUUUGAUUAUUGCACACGAAUGUUUGUUUUGUAUUGAGUGGAAAAUAAACAAUCCAUAUGUUACAGGUUUGUUUGAAGAUAUAUUGUUUGUUCUAUAUAGUGAUUAUUUUUCUUUUGAUGAUCCCCACCGUAGCUGAGGGGCAUAAAGUUUUACUCUUGUCCGUUUGUACGUACAUCCUGUACGUCCCACCCAAAGUUGGUUUCUGUUCUCUAACUUUUUUUUGCCUCAACAAAUGUUAUGAAACUUAUACACAAUGCUUAUUAUCAGAAAACAGAACAAAUUUGAAUUUUCGUGGUGUCACUUUAAUUGUUCUAGAGAUAUGCCCC